rnacentral:rRNA from 1 species
UUAAGUGACUAAGCGUACACGGUGGAUGCCUAGGCAGUCAGAGGCGAUGAAGGGCGUGCUAAUCUGCGAAAAGCGUCGGUAAGGUGAUAUGAACCGUUAUAACCGGCGAUACCCGAAUGGGGAAACCCAGUGUGUUUCGACACACUAUCAUGUCAUGAAUACAUAGUGGCAUGAGGCGAACCGGGGGAACUGAAACAUCUAAGUACCCCGAGGAAAAGAAAUCAACCGAGAUUCCCCCAGUAGCGGCGAGCGAACGGGGAGGAGCCCAGAACAUCGGCUUGUGUGUUAGUGGAAGCGUCUGGAAAGUCGCGCAGCAAAGGGUGAUAGCCCCGUACACUAAAAUGCACAGGUCGUGAGUUCGAUGAGUAGGGCGGGACACGUGACAUCCUGUCUGAAUAUGGGGGGACCAUCCUCCAAGGCUAAAUACUCCUGACUGACCGAUAGUGAACCAGUACCGUGAGGGAAAGGCGAAAAGAACCCCGGCGAGGGGAGUGAAAUAGAACCUGAAACCGUGUACGUACAAGCAGUGGGAGCACCUUCGUGGUGUGACUGCGUACCUUUUGUAUAAUGGGUCAGCGACUUAUAUUUUGUAGCAAGGUUAACCGUAUAGGGGAGCCGUAGGGAAACCGAGUCUUAACUGGGCGAUUAGUUGCAAGGUAUAGACCCGAAACCCGGUGAUCUAGCCAUGGGCAGGUUGAAGGUUGGGUAACACUAACUGGAGGACCGAACCGACUAAUGUUGAAAAAUUAGCGGAUGACUUGUGGCUGGGGGUGAAAGGCCAAUCAAACCGGGAGAUAGCUGGUUCUCCCCGAAAGCUAUUUAGGUAGCGCCUCGUGAACUCAUCUUCGGGGGUAGAGCACUGUUUCGGCUAGGGGGCCAUCCCGGCUUACCAAACCGAUGCAAACUCCGAAUACCGAAGAAUGUUAUCACGGGAGACACACGGCGGGUGCUAACGUCCGUCGUGAAGAGGGAAACAACCCAGACCGCCAGCUAAGGUCCCAAAGUCAUGGUUAAGUGGGAAACGAUGUGGGAAGGCACAGACAGCCAGGAUGUUGGCUUAGAAGCAGCCAUCAUUUAAAGAAAGCGUAAUAGCUCACUGGUCGAGUCGGCCUGCGCGGAAGAUGUAACGGGGCUAAACCAUGCACCGAAGCUGCGGCAGCGACGCUUAGGCGUUGUUGGGUAGGGGAGCGUUCUGUAAGCCGUUGAAGGUGGCCUGUGAGGGUUGCUGGAGGUAUCAGAAGUGCGAAUGCUGACAUAAGUAACGAUAAAGCGGGUGAAAAGCCCGCUCGCCGGAAGACCAAGGGUUCCUGUCCAACGUUAAUCGGGGCAGGGUGAGUCGACCCCUAAGGCGAGGCUGAAAAGCGUAGUCGAUGGGAAACAGGUUAAUAUUCCUGUACUUGGUGUUACUGCGAAGGGGGGACGGAGAAGGCUAGGCUGGCCGGGCGACGGUUGUCCCGGUUUAAGCGUGUAGGGGGUGUGACCUGGUAAAUCCGGUUGCAUAUCAACCCUGAGGCGUGAUGACGAUGCACUACGGUGCAGAAGUAGUUGAUGCCCUGCUUCCAGGAAAAUCCUCUAAGCUCCAGGUAACAUUAAAUCGUACCCCAAACCGACACAGGUGGUCAGGUAGAGAAUACCAAGGCGCUUGAGAGAACUCGGGUGAAGGAACUAGGCAAAAUGGUGCCGUAACUUCGGGAGAAGGCACGCUGGCAUGUAGGUGAAGUCCCUUGCGGAUGGAGCUGAAGCCAGUCGAAGAUACCAGCUGGCUGCAACUGUUUAAUAAAAACACAGCACUGUGCAAACACGAAAGUGGACGUAUACGGUGUGACGCCUGCCCGGUGCUGGAAGGUUAAUUGAUGGGGUCAGCCGCAAGGCGAAGCUCUUGAUCGAAGCCCCAGUAAACGGCGGCCGUAACUAUAACGGUCCUAAGGUAGCGAAAUUCCUUGUCGGGUAAGUUCCGACCUGCACGAAUGGCGUAAUGAUGGCCAGGCUGUCUCCACCCGAGACUCAGUGAAAUUGAACUCGCUGUGAAGAUGCAGUGUACCCGCGGCAAGACGGAAAGACCCCGUGAACCUUUACUAUAGCUUGACACUGAACAUUGAGCCUUGAUGUGUAGGAUAGGUGGGAGGCUUUGAAGCGUGGACGCCAGUCUGCGUGGAGCCAUCCUUGAAAUACCACCCUUUAAUGUUUGAUGUUCUAACUCUGCCCCAUAAUCUGGGGUGAGGACAGUGUCUGGUGGGUAGUUUGACUGGGGCGGUCUCCUCCCAAAGAGUAACGGAGGAGCACGAAGGUUAGCUAAUCACGGUCGGACAUCGUGAGGUUAGUGCAAAGGCAUAAGCUAGCUUGACUGCGAGAGUGACGGCUCGAGCAGGUACGAAAGUAGGUCUUAGUGAUCCGGUGGUUCUGAAUGGAAGGGCCAUCGCUCAACGGAUAAAAGGUACUCCGGGGAUAACAGGCUGAUACCGCCCAAGAGUUCAUAUCGACGGCGGUGUUUGGCACCUCGAUGUCGGCUCAUCACAUCCUGGGGCUGAAGUAGGUCCCAAGGGUAUGGCUGUUCGCCAUUUAAAGUGGUACGCGAGCUGGGUUUAGAACGUCGUGAGACAGUUCGGUCCCUAUCUGCCGUGGGCGUUGGAAGAUUGAGAGGGGUUGCUCCUAGUACGAGAGGACCGGAGUGAACGCACCACUGGUGUUCGGGUUGUCAUGCCAAUGGCAUUGCCCGGUAGCUAAGUGCGGAAAAGAUAAGCGCUGAAAGCAUCUAAGCGCGAAACUUGCCUCAAGAUGAGUCUUCCCUGGGCCUUUAAGGCCCCUGAAGGAACGUUUAAGACUAAGACGUUGAUAGGCUGGGUGUGUAAGUGCAGCGAUGCAUUGAGCUAACCAGUACUAAUGAUCCGUGAGGCUUAACCUU